UACAGUCUUUGGGGCAGGGUGUGAUUCCCUACCGGCGGUAUAGCCCGCGAGCCGUUUUGGCAUGACACGGUGAGAUUCCGUGGCCGACAGUAUAGUCUGGAUGAGAAAAGACUUGU
rnacentral:ncRNA from 1 species